UACGAAGGGGGCUAGCGUUGCUCGGAAUCACUGGGCGUAAAGCGCACGCAGGCGGAUUGAUAAGUCAGGGGUGAAAUCCCGGGGCUCAACCUCGGAAUUGCCUUUGAUACUGUCUAUCUUGAGUUCGGGAGAGGUUGGCGGAAUUCCUAGUGUAGAGGUGAAAUUCGUAGAUAUUAGGAAGAACACCAGUGGCGAAGGCGGCCAACUGGCCCGAUACUGACGCUCAUGUGCGAAAGCGUGGGGAGCAAACAGG
rnacentral:rRNA from 1 species